GACAGAGGGUGCAAACGUUGUUCGGAAUUACGUGGCGUAAAGCGCGUGUAGGCGGUGCGGUAAGUCGGGUGUGAAAGCCCUGGGCUCAACCCAGGAAGUGCAUUCGAUACUACCGUACUAGAGUCCCGGAGAGGUUGGUGGAACUCUCGGUGUAGAGGUGAAAUUCGUAGAUAUCGAGAAGAACACCGGUGGCGAAGGCGGCCAACUGGACGGUGACUGACGCUGAGACGCGAAAAGCGUGGGGAGCAAACAGG
rnacentral:rRNA from 1 species